rnacentral:rRNA from 1 species
GACAGAGGGGGCAAGCGUUGCUCGGGAUUACUGGGCGUAAAGGGCGCGUAGGCGGCCUUCUAAGUCGAACGUGAAAUCCCCGGGCUCAACCCGGGAACUGCGUCCGAUACUGGAAGGCUUGAAUCCGGGAGAGGGAUGUGGAAUUCCAGGUGUAGCGGUGAAAUGCGUAGAUAUCUGGAGGAACACCGGUGGCGAAGGCGACAUCCUGGACCGGUAUUGACGCUGAGGCGCGAAAGCCAGGGGAGCAAACGGG